CAGAGCCGCAUGUUUCAUACUGUUUAUUACACUAAUGAAAAUAUACUAGUUUGUGCUCCAACAGGAGCUGGCAAAACAAAAAUAGCUAUGAUUUCUAUUCUACAUGAGAUUGGACAGCG